AGUUCUGUCAUACUGUGAAAGACCUUACCUUUUCAUCUUUAUUCACAGGAAGCCAUAUAGCCCGGCGCCUCACCAAAUGUUCAGGACCAGGAAACAGAUCUUUGAUGUCAUCACGGGAAAGUGAAGGCUGCUGAAAAUGUUAGAAGCAAAAAAUAUUUCACUACAAUGAAAUAAAAGAAACAACUAAAGGAGAGAAGAGAAGAGGUAAAAGUGAGCUGGCUGCCUUGUUCCUCUUGGUAAUAACUCAGAACUUUGAUCCACAUUAGCUGAUUUUAAAGCUGUUGGCUUUUUUUACAGUAUGCUUUAUAAAUAUAUAUGUACUU